CCUUACCAAGGCUUGAUAUACACGAGAACGGGCCAGAAAUGGUCAACUCUUUGGACACUCGUGAACAGGUGGUGCAUGGUUGUCGUCAGCUCGUGUCGUGAGAUGUUGGGUUAAGUCCCGCAACGAGCGCAACCCUCGUUCUAUGUUGCCAGCACGUAAUGGUGGGAACUCAUGGGAUACUGCCGGGGUCAACUCGGAGGAAGGUGGGGAUGACGUCAAAUCAUCAUGCCCCUUAUGUCUUGGGCUUCACGCAUGCUACAAUGGCCGGUACAAAGGGCUGCAAUACCGUGAGGUGGAGCGAAUCCCAAAAAGCCGGUCCCAGUUCGGAUUGAGGUCUGCAACUCGACCUCAUGAAGUCGGAGUCGCUAGUAAUCACAGAUCAGCAACGCUGCGGUGAAUACGUUCUC
rnacentral:rRNA from 1 species